GAAUAUUGGACAAUGGGCGAAAGCCUGAUCCAGCCAUGCCGCGUGUGUGAAGAAGGUCUUCGGAUUGUAAAGCACUUUAAGUUGGGAGGAAGGGCAGUAAGCGAAUACCUUGCUGUUUUGACGUUACCGACAGGAUAAGCACCGGCUAACUCUGUGCCAGCACCCGCGGUAAUACAGAGGGUGCAAGGGUGAACUGGAAUUACAGGGGGUAAAGGGAGCGUAGGGGGUUCGGUAAGUGGGAUGUGAAAUCCCCGGGCUAAACCUGGGAACUGCAUCCAAAACUGGCGAGCUAGAGUAGGGCAGAGGGUGGUGGAAUUUCCUGUGUAGCGGUGAAAUGCGUAGAUAUAGGAAGGAACACCAGUGGCGAAGGCGACCACCUGGGCUCAUACUGACACUGAGGUGCGAAAGCGUGGGGAGCAAACAG
rnacentral:rRNA from 1 species